rnacentral:rRNA from 1 species
GAUGAACGCUGGCGGCGUGCCUAAUACAUGCAAGUCGAGCGAACAGAUGAUGAGCUUGCUCCUCUGACGUUAGCGGCGGACGGGUGAGUAACACGUGGAUCACCUACCUAUAAGACUGGGAUCACUUCGGGAAACCGGCGCUAAUACCGGAUAAUAUCUUGAACCGCAUGGUUCAAUAGUGAAAGACGGUUUUGCUGUCACUUCUAGAUGGAUCCGCGCCGCAUUAGCUAGUUGGUAAGGUAACGGCUUACCAAGGCAACGAUGCGUAGCCGACCUGAGAGGGGGAUAGGCGACACGGGAGCGUGGACACGGUCAAGACGACUACGGGAGGCAGCAGUAGGGAAUCGUCCGCAAUAGGCGAAAGCCUGACGGAGCAACGCCGCGUGAGUGAUGAAGGUCUUCGGAUCGUAAAAAUCUGUUAUUAGGGAAGAACAAAUGUGGAAGUAACUAUGCACGUCGUGACGGUAACUAAUCAGAAAGCCACGGCUAACUACGUG